AAAAUACAUAAAAAAAAGCAAAAAAAAA
rnacentral:sRNA from 1 species